UAGGAAUGCGUAGCAACAGUAAUCCUAUAUAGUACGUAAGGACUUGUAGGUUCGGAUGAACGGUGGCGCGUUUGGUUGAUCAGCCAAUGAUGCAAAUCUCUCAUCCGUAGGAUAAUGAUCGAACGCCUCUAAUUCAGAAGCCAGUCUAGAGCUAUGCAAAAGUCUCGACUUUUAUUUUUGAAACAAUUCAAGAGCAAUCGUGUGAAUACAUCGUGGCGAUCGACAUGAUUGUAAACUACUUGGAGAGUGUAUCUCUCUGGACGAUGUAAUUUGAAGUUGCGUCAUGUGGUUGCGAGAAGUCGACUCGCAAAACUCGCGGUGCUUUUAGGAUUCAAGUAGACUUUGCGCCGUGAGAUCUUGAGGCUCAUCCGUCGACUUUAAACCACA
rnacentral:ncRNA from 1 species